UUUUAUAACUUGGAAGAAGGAUCAUGUACCUGCUCAAGAAGAAAGCAUACUUUGUAGCUGCACAGGCUCUAAAGAGAACACACCCUCCAAUGGGGAAUUUAUACGUGGCCAGAGAGGAUCAAGAACCAGGAAGAACUUCCCAGAGGGCAAAGCCAAAGACUGUAGUGGACAAUGGACAAAGAACAGAACCACAAGCAUCCAACCGGUCAAAACAAGACACUCUCUCUCGAUGCCAGGUCUGGAGAUUCCACCAAUAUUUGCCUCAUCUGGAUCACUGUGUACAAAAUCCUGAAAACCAAAUAUCAAAGAGCACCUCAAUCCCACAGUCCUGAAUAUGCUUCUUUGGGCUAGAAAUAAACCAAUGAUGCCGUUGCCGUUUUGACCUCUCUGAGUUUUUAAAUACCUUCCUUAGUGAACUGUAAGUGACAGAGGCUUUGAAGAAAAAGAUGAUUUCAGCCUUGCAAAUAAAAACCGUCUUGAAAAAUAGAGGUAAGGGAAGAUAUGCUUAUCCUAUAAUUUUUUUUCAAUUGGGCUUAAAUGACUUAACACAUAAAACAAAAUAAAAUGGCAUCAAGUCUUCUAAUUAUUUUGUCACCGGAAGUUAAUUUUUUAGCCUCUUUCUGUUGUUAAUUAUUUUAGGACUAUAAAGAAAACAGUAGCCAUGGCUCUUGAUUUUCUCUAGAAUUAUCUGUGUUUUUUACAGAAGAAUGUCCUUUAAAUAUUAACAUAAUGGUCAGCUCCUGGUCAAACUCACUUCUUAAUCUACUUUUAUUUAUUUUUACUUAGUGUGAGGUGUGUUGAUGAUCUAUUAUGUGUCAACACUGUGCCAAGCCCUUAGAGAUGUUAAGAUGAUUAAGACGAGGGCCCUGGUCCAAAAGACUGUAUGUCUACCUACAUUUUUAAAAAGUUAAAUUGAACUGUGAGUAGAAAUAAAAUGGAAGUGUAGUCCAAUUGCUUUGGAUGGCAAAGGAUUUUUGAACUAGACCUAAAAGGAUGAAGAAAGCGAAAUGAAUGGUAGAAAUAAGGGAAAAUUAUGACAGGUCAAAGGAACACAUAUGCAAGGUACAGAGAGCUAAAAGUACAGUAGACAUUGUUCUCUAUGACUGUGUGACAGCAGCAGAAGCAACUGAUAAACGGGGCAUCAGGGUUAACUUUGAGGGUCUGAUAAAAACUGUCUAAGGAGUUAAAUGUGAACUUGAACUUGAUCUUCAAAGAUUAGGGGAAUGUAAGGAUUAAAGUAAUAAUCACAGUUUCCUGGACUUUGCCUUUAUAUUUUGCCUAUAUAUUCCUGGACUUUGCAAUAUAUUCCUUUA